rnacentral:rRNA from 1 species
GGGGUAGGCAUCUUUUUAUUUUUAAAACCUUUUUCGGAAGGUAUGCUUAAAGAGGGGCUUGCGUCACAUUAGUUAGUUGGCAGGGUAAAGGCCUACCAAGACUAUGAUGUGUAGCUGGACUGAGAGGUUGAACAGCCACAUUGGGACUGAGACACGGCCCAAACUCCUACGGGAGGCAGCAGUAGGGAAUUUUCGGCAAUGGAGGAAACUCUGACCGAGCAACGCCGCGUGAACGAUGAAGUAUUUCGGUAUGUAAAGUUCUUUUAUUGAAGAAGAAAAAAUAGUGGAAAAACUAUCUUGACGAUAUUCAAUGAAUAAGCCCCGGCAAACUAUGUGCCAGCAGCCGCGGUAAUACAUAGGGGGCGAGCGUUAUCCGGAAUUAUUGGGCGUAAAGGGUGCGUAGGCGGUUUAAUAAGUCUAUAGUUUAAUUUCAGUGCUUAACACUGUCCUGCUAUAGAAACUAUUAGACUAGAGUGAGAUAGAGGCAAGUGGAAUUCCAUGUGUAGCGGUAAAAUGCGUAAAUAUAUGGAGGAACACCAGAGGCGUAGGCGGCUUGCUGGGUCUUUACUGACGCUGAGGCACGAAAGCGUGGGGAGCAAACAGGAUUAGAUACCCUGGUAGUCCACGCCGUAAACGAUGAGUACUAAGUGUCGGGAUUACUCGGUACUGAAGUUAACACAUUAAGUACUCCGCCUGAGUAGUACGUACGCAAGUAUGAAACUUAAAGGAAUUGACGGGACUCCGCACAAGCGGUGGAUCAUGUUGUUUAAUUCGAAGAUACACGAAAAACCUUACCAGGUCUUGACAUACUCUGCAAAGCUAUAGCAAUAUAGUGGAGGUUAUCAGAGAUACAGGUGGUGCAUGGUUGUCGUCAGCUCGUGUCGUGAGAUGUUAGGUUAAGUCCUAAAACGAGCGCAACCCUUGUCAUUAGUUGCCAGCAUGUCAUGAUGGGCACUUUAAUGAGACUGCCAAUGAAAAAUUGGAGGAAGGUGAGGAUCACGUCAAAUCAUCAUGCCCCUUAUGAUCUGGGCUACAAACGUGAUACAAUGGCUGUUACAAAGAGUAGCUGAAACGCAAGUUUAUAGCCAAUCUCAUAAAAGCAGUCUCAGUUCGGAUUGAAGUCUGCAACUCGACUUCAUGAAGUUGGAAUCGCUAGUAAUCGCGAAUCAGCAUGUCGCGGUAAAUUCUAACGU